GACGAACGCUGGCGGCGUGCUUAACACAUGCAAGUCGAACGGAAAUGCCCUGCUUUUGUGGGGUGCUCGAGUGGCGAACGGGUGAGUAACACGUGAGUAACCUGCCCUUGACUUUGGGAUAACUUCAGGAAACUGGGGCUAAUACCGGAUAGGAGCUCCUGCUGCAUGGUGGGGGUUGGAAAGUUUCGGCGGUUGGGGAUGUACUCGCGGCUUAUCAGCUUGUUGGUGGGGUAGUGGCUUACCAAGGCUUUGACGGGUAGCCGGCCUGAGAGGGUGACCGGCCACAUUGGGACUGAGAUACGGCCCAGACUCCUACGGGAGGCAGCAGUGGGGAAUAUUGCACAAUGGGCGGAAGCCUGAUGCAGCAACGCCGCGUGCGGGAUGACGGCCUUCGGGUUGUAAACCGCUUUCGCCUGUGACGAAGCGUGAGUGACGGUAAUGGGUAAAGAAGCACCGGCUAACUACGUG
rnacentral:rRNA from 1 species